AGUUCUAACCUCGAUCGGUAUAUCCCGGUCAGGGACAAUGUAUGGUGGGUAGUUUGACUGGGGCGGUCUCCUCCUAAAGAGUAACGGAGGAGUACGAAGGUGCGCUCAGCGUGGUCGGAAAUCACGCGUAGAGUAUAAAGGCAAAAGCGCGCUUAACUGCGAGACCCACAAGUCGAGCAGGUACGAAAGUAGGUCUUAGUGAUCCGGUGGUUCUGUAUGGAAGGGCCAUCGCUCAACGGAUAAAAGGUACUCUGGGG
rnacentral:rRNA from 1 species